rnacentral:rRNA from 1 species
GAGUUUGAUCGUGGCUCAAAUUGAACGCUGGCGGCAUGCCUUACACAUGCAAGUCGAACGGCAGCAUGAUCUAGCUUGCUAGAUUGAUGGCGAGUGGCGAACGGGUGAGUAAUACAUCGGGAACGUGCCCUGUAGUGGGGGAUAACUAGUCGAAAGAUUAGCUAAUACCGCAUACGACCUGAGGGUGAAAGUGGGGGACCGCAAGGCCUCAUGCUAUAGGAGCGGCCGAUGUCUGAUUAGCUAGUUGGUGGGGUAAAGGCCCGACCAAGGCGACGAUCAGUAGCUGGUCUGAGAGGACGAUCAGCCACACUGGGACUGAGACACGGCCCAGACUCCUACGGGAGGCAGCAGUGGGGAAUUUUGGACAAUGGGCGAAAGCCUGAUCCAGCAAUGCCGCGUGUGUGAAGAAGG